CACUAGGGAAUUCCAUUCUUCCUGCCAAUACACACCAAAAACGACAUAUCGUCACGCAAUUCUUGGCAGCAGGGGUCUGUUGAGAGCUAUGACAAAAGAGAAGGCCACUGCCAUUUGACAUCCAGUGUUCUACUACAACUUGAAGUUUUAUCAAUGGUAAAACCUUAUUGGGCAUUGAUCAUGCAAGCAGUAAUUUUUGUGUGUAUAUAUAUAUGCAGAGGAUGUAAGUAUGUAGGGGAUUUUCAGUUAUUGAUUGAUUAAUGGGUUUAGGUAGCUAGGGCUCUUACGAUAUGAGUUGACCUAGCAACUGGAUUGGUGCUAUCCUCUUCUCUUUGGCCCUUGGAACUUGUCUAGCUAAAUAAAACCAAUUGUCUCUAGAGAUAGGUCAUUCUUCUGUACCGAACAAGGGCCAUGCUUGGUAUUGCUGUGACAACUCAUCCAUCGCGUGCUAACCAAUGACAUAGAUGAUGAUGGGUAAUCAAGGAAGAUAAUGAUGUAAUUUCUUAUCAGAUCAGACCCAUUUUAACUUAAAGUUACCACGUAUGAGUUGGAUUGGUAGAACAAAAAGAUGAGAGGAUGAAGGCAUCGAUCAGAAGCUGUGUAUAACGUAUUUGCAAACCGUUGAUUGAGGUCAUAUGGGCUGUCCACUUUGCCUUUGAAUCUGUACUAAAAAGGUAGACCACAUAUCAACACCAUAGAAAACUAAGAAAUAAUAAUUUCUUGGGUAGAUAAUUCUCUUAUGCUCAGAACCUUGA